GAUGAACGCUGGCGGUGUGCCUAAUACAUGCAAGUCGAACGGGCUCUUCGGAGCUAGUGGCGGACGGGUGAGUAACACGUUGGUACCUACCCCUAAGUGGGGAAUAACUGCCCGAAAGGGUGGCUAAUACCGCAUAAUCCCGCGAAGGGUAAAGCAGUAAUGCGCUUAGGGAGGGGCCUGCGUCUGAUUAGCUAGUUGGUGAGGUAAUUGCUCACCAAGGCGACGAUCAGUAGCNGGAUCGAGAGGUUGACCAGCCACACUGGGACUGAGAUACGGCCCAGACUCCUACGGGAGGCAGCAGUAAGGAAUCUUCCACAAUGGACGAAA
rnacentral:rRNA from 1 species